rnacentral:sRNA from 1 species
UUUUUUUUGUAUUUUU